GUUGGCUUCAUACACAGUUUACAUAUACUACAGAAUUUAUCAGCACUAUCAAAUAAAUGGUUUUCAAUCCAUUGAAAGGAAGUCAUGUUUGUUGCAAUAUAUUGUUCGUGGUAGACACUGGGAAAAAAACCAACUAUUGAAUGUGUAUUUAUUUGUCUCCUGGUACAAAACUGAUGGAAGAGCAGCCAUGAUGAAGCAGUAAAAAGGUUCUUGGAUACCUUGCUUCAAUACCUCUGGUUGGACAAGAAAAGACCUGGCUAAGGAUAGUAGAGGGUCAAAUAAUUUAUCACCAAGAAAGUUACUGAUUUAAACCGAAUCCUGUAACGCGAAAGAUUCUUAAUUAUGCUAAGUGUGCAAU